GAAAACAAAAACUCUCCUCAAACUUCAUGAAUCCCAACAACAAUUGAAAAACCUUCUAAAAAUAAAGAUUUCAUUGCGUAGACAUGUCUUUCUUCUAACAAUAACAAAAAAAAAUAGUCUAGAACGGCUCCGCUUGAUUUGGGUCAGUUUAUUUUUAUAAACCAAAGAAUUCCAUAUUCAAAGAAUAGAAUGAAUCCUCGAAUGAACGAGCGUACUUCAAGUGGAUUUCCUGCCACCAGCAGCAACAACACUAACAACACAUGUCUGUGGUAGGCCGGUCGGUCGGCCGCCUAGCUAUGAAUACCAGAACUUAACUACACGCCUGAAUGAAUAUAUUUGGCCCAACAGGCAGACAGACACUGAACAUAUGUUUUGGAAAUUAUAUAAAUAUCGUAAGAAAUUCAGUUCCAUAAUUUAGUACCGACAAAGACAUAGCAACGCAAACAUCACAUUUUCGGCAAAUUGAGGAGAUUUUCUUUUCUUCUAAGCAAAAGGAAAAAAAUCACAAUUCUUAUGAUUUAGAAAUAUUCUUAUAUUCGAAUAUAUGGAACUUGUUGAAAAUCUAAAAUUAAAAGGAUUCUUAAGGAUCAUGACCACUAUUAAUAGGAGAACAUCUAUACCGCAAUCAAUGUCGAGAGGUGUGACGUAAGGAAUAAAUAUAAUAAAGUGAAAACAUCUGCUAUUUAUGUAGACAACCUGGACCUGGAAUAAAUAUUUUACAUAUUUUAUAUUAAGAAAUAUCUGAAAUUCGUAACAAAGAUAAAAAUAAAUACAACAAAUAUACCAAAA